AUAACAUAGUAAAGAAGAAGAGAAGAACAAAAGAAGAAGAGAACAACUGAAGAAGGGAAAAGAAAGAAGAAGAAUGUACCUGAGAGAGUCGCAACUCGCGACGCAAAGGUCUGAGUAGUAGCGAAGGUCUCGUCCUCUCAAAGGCUAGAGAGUCGUGAUUGGAAGAGGAGAAGAGAUCGCGCAGGUCGCAGUAGAGAGAAGAGGAUCCCAGGUUUGCAAAAACACCAAAAAACCCUAAUUUUGCCUUUUAAUUAUUAUAUCUGACCUUUUU
rnacentral:lncRNA from 1 species